UGAUGAGCCAAUAAUGCUGUUUCCUUGUUUUCAAACUGGACUUCUGAGAGGGUUUUUUUCCUCCUCUGCUUCCUUUUGGCUCCUCCUUGCUGCUCGUGUCUGAGGAGCUGAGAGCGUUGCUCUCUGCCCGUGGCCACCUCCCCCAGCACCAGAUGGAUGCGAGUACAGAAAGAAGCUAAAGCAGAUCAGAGGAAAAUAACUAUCGGUGUGGACAAAGUGCCAGAACACAAAUGACAGACGACGUAAGAACAAUUGAAAAGCAUUUAAUAAGCAUCACCUCCUUCCUAAUUGUCAAUGGGAGCUGUUGAGUUUUACCUUAAGUUGUCAGAUAAGUACUGAAGUUUCACUGAGAUAUGAAGAGCCAAGAGAUGCCUGGGUGCUCUGAGACAUGGCCAGGAAAACGUUCUG